rnacentral:rRNA from 1 species
UACGUAGGGGGCUAGCGUUGCUCGGAAUCACUGGGCGUAAAGCGCACGUAGGCGGCUUUCUAAGUCAGGGGUGAAAUCCUGGAGCUCAACUCCAGAACUGCCUUUGAUACUGGAGAGCUCGAGUCCGGAAGAGGUGAGUGGAACUGCGAGUGUAGAGGUGAAAUUCGUAGAUAUUCGCAAGAACACCAGUGGCGAAGGCGGCUCACUGGUCCGGUACUGACGCUGAGGUGCGAAAGCGUGGGGAGCAAACAGG